UUCCCUUGAAAUAAUGUUUGGCCGGUAGAGGGCAUGAGAGUCGAUUUACUGCAACGUUGCAUUAAGUCAGUCAAACUUUUUAAUUUAAUGUUGUAAUCUAAAUAUGAAAUUUAGUGUGGAAGAUAUUAUAUGUA